rnacentral:tRNA from 1 species
GCCCGAGUGGUGAAAUCGGUAGACGCAGUGGACUCAAAAUCCACCGGUAGCAAUACCAUGACGGUUCGAGUCCGUCCCCGGGCACCA